UACGAACUGUGCGAACGUUAUUCGGAAUCACUGGGCUUAAAGGGUGCGUAGGCGGCGACUCAAGUCAGGUGUGAAAUCCCCCGGCUCAACCGGGGAACAGCGCUUGAAACUGGGUGGCUCGAGUGAGGCAGGGGUAUGUGGAACUUCCGGUGGAGCGGUGAAAUGUGUAGAUAUCGGAAGGAACGCCGGCGGCGAAAGCGGCAUACUGGGCCUUGUCUGACGCUGAGGCACGAAAGCUAGGGGAGUGAAC
rnacentral:rRNA from 1 species